AAUAUUGCACAAUGGAGGGAACUCUGAUGCAGCAACGCCGCGUGAGUGAAGAAGGUUUUCGGAUCGUAAAACUCUGUCAUUGGGGAAGAAUAAAUGACGGUACCCAAUGAGGAAGCCCCGGCUAACUACGUGCAAGCAGCCGCGGUAAUACGUAGGGGGCAAGCGUUAUCCGGAAUUACUGGGUGUAAAGGGUGCGUAGGCGGUAAUGAAAGUCAGGUGUGAAAGCCCGAAGCUCAACUUCGGGAUUGCACUUGAAACUUCAUAACUAGAGUACAGGAGAGGUGAGUGGAAUUCCUAGUGUAGCGGUGAAAUGCGUAGAUAUUAGGAGGAACACCAGUGGCGAAGGCGACUCACUGGACUGUAACUGACGCUGAGGCACGAAAGCGUGGGUAGCGAACA
rnacentral:rRNA from 1 species